rnacentral:rRNA from 1 species
GACGAACGCUGGCGGCGUGCCUAACACAUGCAAGUCGAACGGGGUUGAGUGCUUCGGUAUUCAACUUAGUGGCGAACGGGUGAGUAACGCGUGAAGAACCUGCCUUUCAGUGGGGGACAACAGUUGGAAACGACUGCUAAUACCGCAUGACACUGAUGAGGGGCAUCCCUUAUCAGUCAAAGCUUAAUGUGCUGAAAGAUGGCUUCGCGUCUGAUUAGCUAGAUGGCGGGGUAACGGCCCACCAUGGCGACGAUCAGUAGCCGGUCUGAGAGGAUGAACGGCCACAUUGGGACUGAGAUACGGCCCAGACUCCUACGGGAGGCAGCAGUGGGGAAUAUUGGGCAAUGGGGGAAACCCUGACCCAGCAACGCCGCGUGAAGGAAGAAGGCCUUCGGUUGUAAACUUCUUUACCUAGGGACGAAGGACGUGACGGUACCUGGAGAAAAAGCAACGGCUAACUAACGUG